rnacentral:rRNA from 1 species
CCAUUUGGAACAGAUGCUAAUACCGAUAAAAGCUACUUUCGCAUGAAAGAAGUUUAAAAGGACGGCGUAAGCUGUCGCUAAAGGGAUGGACCUGCGAUGCAUUAGCUAGUUGGUAAGGGUAACGGGCUUACCAAGGCGAUGAUGCAUAGCCCGAGUUGAGAGACUGAUCGGGCCACAUUGGGACUGAGACACGGGCCCAAACUCCUACGGGAGGCAGCAGUAGGGGGAAUCUUCCACAAUGGACGAAAGUCUGAUGGAGCAAACGCCGCGUGAGUGAAGAAGGUUUUCGGAUCGUAAAAAGCUCUGUUGUUGGUGAAGAAGGAUAGAGGUAGUAACUGGCCCUUUAUUUGACGGUAAUCAACCCAGAAAGUCACGGGCUAACUACGUGCCCAGCAGCCGCGGUAAAU